GGCUGUUACCGGCUAGGACGCCGCGGGGUGGAGUUUCCUCAGCACAUUUUGGACGUUUCCGAUAGCUGUUUUCACUUGCUGCGUAGGUGGUAUGUGGAGCCGGGAGGAACAGUCGGCAUGGCGAUCAACUCUUCGAAAACACUCCACCUGAAAUGUCCUCAAAGUGGAUUGCUUUCCGACGAGACGAUGAAGAAAUGUCACGACACGCGCGCGCUCGCACGGCGCCCUCGUGCAAAGGAAAACAAAUCAACAAAGUCACGUGAUGACAUCAAAACAACAUACGUACAUCUGAAUGAAGUGUCAGCGUCCUCAUAUGCUCCGCUCCCAUUGGAGCCAAUCAGCUGCUUCCUUUUGCUGACGACCUGCGCGGCCGAUGAGAUGACAUCAUUUCCUGCGUCGGCUGACGAGUGUCACCUAAAAAAAAAAAAGACCGGGAGGCUUGUUAUUGCCUUUAAUGCUGAAUAAAACCUGAAGGACGUUGGCGUAGUCCGCAAUGAUCACAUGACCCGGAGGCAGUCUUCUACGAGCCCCGCGAUGCACUGCAACCGACAGCUGAGCGCGCUCAUCGCCGCGCCGGCGACCGGCUCCAAUCAGCUCAGCGAGGAGUC